GGAGGAAUGGCUGAGUGGCUGAAGGCGCACGCCUGGAAAGUGUGUUUAGGUUAAUCCCUAACGAGGGUUCGAAUCCCUCUUCCUCCACCA
rnacentral:tRNA from 36 species